UAACACUGCGAAACCGUUGCACACCAGAGCAAGCAAGCACAGCCUGGUCGGGUUGUAAGAGAGAGAAUCAAUGGCUGUUUUGUUUCAUCACUUUCUGCUACAAUUCGUCCACCAUUCCCAUCAUCAUCAUCAUCCAUUUUCUCCGCCAUUGCUGUCAAGCCCAAGCUUUCUCUUCUCUCUUUGCCCUCAACUUAUACGCCGCUAAAAGGCCUAAAACCCUCUCGAUCAUCUACUAUUAGGGUUUUUGCUGCACCUGAAGUUUUGGAUUCCCAAGAAACCCUAGAUGGUCCUGACUCUGCUACGACUGAGGUUGGAGGAUCGGUGGAUCCUGGUUCGUCGCCGCUCAGUAUUGGGGCCGAUGCUAAGAAGGAUGUUGUUUUGCUCAUUCUCAACAAGUUUGAAGCAAUUCAUGAAGGAAAACGCUUCAACAUUAUCGUAUUUGGACAGACUCAAUAUUGUUAUUAAUGAUGUGCAGUCAUUAGCUUCUAUAUUACGUAUAUUUGAUGAAAGCUCUGGCAGUUCUUGAAGCCUGUUGCAACCAUCCAAACGCAGGAACCCCAGAUUAGAAGGUUUAUUCAUGUUUGCAGCUCCAGCCACAACCUCCACUGCCAGCGUCGCUCUCUUGUCAACCCCAAUCUAGAGGCACUCUCUAGUCAACUCCACCGCGACCCCCACAAUCAACCACCCCCAGCAGCUUCGGACAAUCCCAAUCCAGAGCCACCACCGUGAGCCACCGUCGCAAGCCCUUCUUUCUCUCUCCCCACCAUCGCCCAGCCACUAUCGUCGGUCGCUGCUCAUCCCAACUCAAAUUGCGACGGUGACGGAAGCGACUAGGGUUUGAGGCCACAGAUCACGAUAGCAGCUAGGGUUUGAGGUCACAGAUCGCAACGGCAGCUAAGGUUGAGAUCUCAGAUCGCAAUGGCAAUGGAGGUGGCUAGGGUUUGAGGUCACAGCUUGCGACAGUGACGAAUAUGGACUGCAAUAUUUGGGAAUACUGGUGUGCAGAACCAACAAGCAGAUAGAAAGAAUAGAGUGCCAUGGUCAAGAUCUUUCAGUUAUGAGGAAGUAAGACCUUUUCUGAAUGUGACAUUCAUAGCAGGAGAGCAAUGGUUGAGACUAUUCUACUAUUUUCAUGUGUUUCACUUCUUUUAGAUGAUGUGAGAAUUGCUUUACAUUUAUGGCCAAAAAUAGUCCAUUUCUGGUACAAAAAAUUUGAGCAUCUCUUUGGAUUGCAGAUAGCCUCCAGACACAGGAUCAUUAUUGAUGGCUCGUGGAUGAAGGAUACUUCGCUUGCAGAGGGAGCUUGGGUAGCUUUGGAUGAAUUUGAUAAUCAGAUUGUGUCACACACUGCAGCCUUCUUCGCUUUAUCAGCAUCUACCACAGAAGCCAAGGCGUGUCUUGAUGCAGUUCGACAGUGUGUGGAUCAUAACGUCGAAACUGUUAACAUAUACACAGACUCUCAUGCACUUAUAAAUGAAUUAUCAUGUGGAUCAGCUAAAGCUUGGAUUGGCUGUCUAUUGUUAAGGACAUUAAGAUGUUAUGUAAUACGGUUGAGUAUAUUUGUACUACAAGAGUCGGGAACGACUAUAGUCCCGAAAAGCGGGUUUUGGGUACCAUACCUAAAAAAAAUUCAGCCGUUGGAUUGUGUUAUGCAAUCUAGUCCAUUCAAUGUAAACAGGUAAAAUAACAGGUAGCCGGUGAAAAGUAGUGAAACCUCCUCUCUCGUCAUUGUCAAGUCCAUCUCAUGAAUGAAUCUCACUCUUUUCUCUCUCUGCUCCUCUCCUUUCUUAUACUGCGUCGGUGCGUCUAGCGACGGUGUGCUUUUAGCCCGAAUCCCUUCCGUUGUAAACGAUUUGUCGAAAGAGAUCAUGAAUGUGAGGCUUCCGGCUAGGAUUUUCCGCUUAAUCUCGCUGGCGACCAAGAGGAUUUCUUUCUGCUCAUCAUUUUGGUUUCAACUGUCUUUCAUGAAUAGUUUUUUUUCAGUUGAUGAGAAAGUAGGAGAAAAUCAAUCUAUUCUAUUUUUUCUUAA